GACGAACGCUGGCGGUGUGCUUAACACAUGCAAGUGGUGCGACGAACCAGACUUCGGUCUGGGGCAAAGCCGCGAACGGGUGAGUAACACGUGGGUAAUCUGCCCCGAUGACUGGGACAACCCGAGGAAACUCGGGCUAAUACCGGAUGAUGUGCCUGGACAUAAGUCUGGUCACUAAAGGUAGCUUCGGCUUCCGCAUUGGGAGGGGCCCGCGGCCCAUUAGCUUGUUGGUGGGGUCAAGGCCUACCAAGGCAACGAUGGGUAGCUGGUCUGAGAGGACGAUCAGCCACACUGGGACUGAGACACGGCCCAGACUCCUACGGGAGGCAGCAGUGGGGAAUCUUGCGCAAUGCGCGAAAGCGUGACGCAGCAACACCGCGUGAGGGAAGACGGCCUUAGGGUUGUAAACCUCUUUCAGAUGGGACGAAGGUACGACGGUGAAUAGCCGAUCGGAUUGACGGUACCGUCAGAAGAAGCUCUGGCUAACUACGUGCCAGCCGCCGCCGUAA
rnacentral:rRNA from 1 species